GAUGAACGCUGGCGGCGUGCCUAAUACAUGCAAGUCGAGCGAACAGAUAAGGAGCUUGCUCCUUUGAUGUUAGCGGCGGACGGGUGAGUAACACGUGGGUAACCUACCUAUAAGACUGGAAUAACUCCGGGAAACCGGGGCUAAUGCCGGAUAACAUUUAGAACCGCAUGGUUCUAAAGUGAAUGAUGGUUUUGCUAUCACUUAUAGAUUGACCCGCGCCGUAUUAGCUAGUUGGUAAGGUAAUGGCUUACCAAGGCAACGAUACGUAGCCGACCUGAGAGGGUGAUCGGCCACACUGGAACUGAGACACGGUCCAGACUCCUACGGGAGGCAGCAGUAGGGAAUCUUCCGCAAUGGGCGAAAGCCUGACGGAGCAACGCCGCGUGAGUGAUGAAGGGUUUCGGCUCGUAAAACUCUGUUAUUAGGGAAGAACAAACGUGUAAGUAACUGUGCACGUCUUGACGGUACCUAAUCAGAAAGCCACGGCUAACUACGUGCCAGCCGCCGCAGUAA
rnacentral:rRNA from 1 species